GGGCCCUUAGCUCAGCUGGCAGAGCAGCGGACUUUUAAUCCGAAGGCCCAGGGUUCGAUCCCCUGAGGGCCCACCA
rnacentral:tRNA from 1 species